rnacentral:snRNA from 1 species
UGCAGCCCCAAUCGGGCG